rnacentral:rRNA from 1 species
UGGGGAAUUUUGGACAAUGGGGGCAACCCUGAUCCAGCCAUUCCCCUUGAGUGAAGCAUUCCUUCUGUUUGUAAAGCUCUUUCAUCUGGAACGAAACGGUUCGCUCUAACAUACCGUGCUCAUCACCUUACCAUCUGCAGAAGCACCGGCUAACUACGUGCCUGCACCCGCUGUACUACGUUUUUUGCUCGCGUUCUUCGUACUUUCUGGUCGUUUCGCUUGCGCAGCCGGAUUGUUAAGCAAGACGUGAAAUCCCCGGGCUUAACCUGGGAAUGGCGUUUUGAACUGGCAGUCUAGAGUGCGUCAGAGGGGGGUGGAAUUCCACGUGUAGCAGUGAAAAGCGUGGAAAAGUGGAGGAAAACCGAUGGCGAAGGCAGCGCCCUGGGAUGACACUGACGCUCAAGUACGAAAGCGUAGGUAGCAAAAAGG